rnacentral:antisense_RNA from 1 species
GUCCUCGCUCGCGUCCCCGCUCCCUCCUCCCCUCUGCUUCUCCCUCUCCUCCACUCCCCCAUUGGCUUCUACCCCUCCCCCUUCUUCCUCCGCCUCUCCCACCAUUGGUUCCCUCCCCUACUCGAUUCCUUCUCACCUUUUCCCUUUUACCCAUUGGCGUGAGUAUUUUUCCUCAGCUUCCCUCUUUCUCCGUAUUCUGCUCCUUCUCAGUCCCAUCCUCCACGCUUUGGAAGCUGCUGCCUUGCUGCCCGGAGCGCCGUCGUCCCCGAACCUCCCCUGCUUUCUCCCUUUCCUUCUGUUCCGGUUUCUGGUCGUAACUCAAGAGCAAACCACCGUACUGCAAAGGAACCAGAUAUUGUGCUCGCGGUUCCAAACCGGGCAUGGGCACCGAAUGCUUCUCGAUAAAUCCCCUUAUGGUCUCUGAGCAUUAAAGAAAGCAAGGGAGGAAAACAUGCGCCCAAGCUCGUUCGCAGGAACAUGUUCGCGUGUCUGCGCCUGUGUGCGCAGCCAGUUUUCUGGCUGAGGAUCGCUCGCCAACUACAGAUAUCACCCGCCCAGGACCCGGUGCCACACUCACCCAGAAGACGAAACUCCACAGGAGCGAGAAGAGGAGUCCCUUUCUCCGUCGGCUCGGCACGGCACGGGGAUGCAGGCCCCUGAUUCAGUACGUUCUGUGGAAGUGGAGCGAGAAGCCAAGACGUGGAUCGAGAAGUCCCGUGGGGCGGGUCUCAGGGUGGUCCAAAAGACCCCUGUUCACGCCACUACCAGCCUAACUUUAGGAACUGUCGGCCACCUGGCUUUUAUUAUACUGCCUUAAACAUAUUCACUUUUUUGAGACUCUAUAAAUUUCACAAGUUUUGGGGUAGAGCACACUGGGCUUUGGGUGUGUUUCUCAUGAGGGCACUGACGCUGAAUGGUGCAGUGAGAAAGGACGGUAGAAACCACUGCCUUUGCUUUUACCAUUGAAGAAACUGAGGUCCUGUGACUUUCCUGAGGUCAUCGGAAUCUGCCUUGCACAGGAGACUUAAAAUAGUUGCCAGCAGAUAAAAGAAUGAGCAAAACCACAUCUACUCCAAUUUAUUAAGUCUGAAAGAAAGUAAUUGAGGGGGGAUUCCUCUUUGGGGAAAUAUUUAUUUCCUGCAUUGAAAAUAGUUUAUUGUUAGUAAACAUAUAAAAAGUAUUUUAAAUUCAAGUUAUUCUUUAUUUCUUAUGUUGCAUAAGGUACUGAAGUUAGCCAAGGUUGCUUUUUAGUGUUAUAAUGAUGCAGCUGCUGCCAACCAGAAGUACAUUUACGGUCUGUCAGUAAAGAAAACAAAAACUGCCUGUUGGUAAAAAUCUGUUAGAAAAUAUUUGUCAGUAAAUCUGUCACAAUAUUCCAGCAGAAGUUCUGUUCGUUUUUCCGUCUUCCUGCCCUUCUUCAUAUUUCUCAAAGGUAAACUUAAUAGAUAAAGGUAGAAGAGACAUUUCUAAUUUUUCUAUAUAUCUCUUGCUCCCUAAUUUCUAACAGGCAUAACUAAAAUCCUUUAUUCGAGCCACUCCCUUGCAUCUGAAUGCUACCUACCAAGUAGGUUAAGAGUAGGUUAGGUAAGGUCUGUAGCUACUUCUUUCUUUCAGUUACAAAUUGUAGGUGGGAAAGAAGGAUGCGGAAGGAAACUUGCAAUGAAAGUAAACAGAAAGAAAAAGAAGUAAAAAAGGAGAGAAGGGAAUUUGGUGGGUGGUCCAACCAUCAAAAUGUGGUACUAAUGCCAUAGGUAUCUACACCACUUAUGUAAGUUGGAAUGUUAAUGCAUUCCAACGCAUGUUUUUAUCUUUGUACUAAAAGCCCUUAAAAAUACCUGAAGUAAACAUAUAAAAAGUA